GGGAUCGUACUCCUAGGGAUCAUUUCUGUAGGAUACAUCUCCAGAGACUAACCAUCUCUAGCAACCCGCGUCGGCUGUGAUGAUGAUUCAGAGAUUCCGUGCUUGAGCGUGAUGUUUGGUUGGCAGUUGGGGUUUUUACCCCUAUCGCCAAUCCAGAUGACCGUUCCGUCUUUUAGAUGGAUGGUGCGGGGUCUUUCUGAGCAGU
rnacentral:snoRNA from 1 species